AGACAAUGUUUUAUGCAUAUGUAAUUACUGGUUCAUCUGAAAAAAAUUAGAAUAUCAUGAACAAGUUCUUUUGUAAUUUAAUUCUGAAAAUCUAUCUUAUAUUCUAGAUUCAUUAUGCACAAAGUGAAAUAUUUCAAGUUUUUUUUUGUUUUGUUUUAACUUAUGGCUACGACUUACAGCUAAAAAAAUUCAAAAUCCAGUUUCUCAAAAGAAUUUGACGUCUUAGAAAAUGGGUUACAGCUGUCACAUUCCUAGAACCAAGUCACUCCAGAACCACAAACAAUGUUAGAAGCGUCUCACCUGGGCUGAAGAGAAAAGGAACUGGACUUGCUUAGUGGUCCAAAGGUCUCUCUUCAGAUGAAAGUAUUAAAUUUGAAAGCAAGGUCCCAGAGUCUGGAGGAAAAGUGGAGAGGCACAGAAUCCAAGUUGCUUGAAGUCCUGUGUAAAGUUUCCACAGUCUGUGAUAAUUUCUGCAGAUAUUGUCAUCUGCUGCUGUUUGUCCACUGUGCUUUAUCAAGUCCAAAGUCAAUGCAGCCAUCUAGCAAGAGAUUUUAAAGUACUUUGUGUUUCCGUCUGCUGACAAGCUUUUAGAAGAUGCCGAUUUCUUUUGCAGCAAGAUUUAGCACCUGCCCACAGUGCCAAAUCUACUUCGUUGUAGCCACCAGAAUUAAAACCAAAAAAAUCUUGCAAUUAGGGAAGUGCACGAAUGUUAGAAUAUUCGAUCCGCAAUAACUAUUUGAAUAUUAAAAAUGCCAAUCGAAUAUUCAUAUUUUUCUUAAGAAUAAAACUGCGUCACCACAAGGUUAAGUUACUUGCUACAGAAGACCUUUUAUAAUAUGCAGAAAAUAUAAAAAAAUCAUUUGUAUGUGUUCCUAAAUCUUUGUUCACUCAGAUCGCAAGCUAGUUUAAAUAUUUUAAGUUUACACACGGGAUGCCCGGAUCGCGUUUUAUGCUCUGCUCACAUCACCAUAUUAAAAUAUCUGUGGUGACCCACAGAAUUCGUUAACAUUACUUACCUUAGGUAUAAAAAUACCAACGUAAUAUUAAAGGUGCAGUGAACUGGCCGUUUUUAUUGUUUUAUACUAUUGUCUGAUGUCUACUUAUGAUGUUCGCGUGGUUUUUACAUUCGAAAACAUCAAAAUCAAUAAGUAACACGCUAUUUUCUACCCUGGUUUUGAGGCCGGCUGGAGAAACGCUCGGUUUUUAAGGGCGGGCCGCAUAGAAGACUUGGAAGUAAACGCCCACUGCUAUGAUUGGAUAGCAGCUUGCGUAGUUGACUUAGUUGGAGCCUUCUGUGAAUUUGGUUAGACACGUUACGUUACGUAACUUGAUUUUACUCAAAUUUACGGACUUAUUUCCCAGAUGUGAUGGCAAGGCUUUGCGUAUAGUUUGUAUAGCCUAUAGUUGUAUGGUAUUUAGUGAUAUAUGACCGUACAUGUCAGCAUUUAAGACCCGCGAAUCGGACAGAAGAUCACAGAGAUCGCGGGUCUCAAAUGUUAUAGUUUUCAUGAUAAAUAAACAAACGGGAGACUCCCGGCCAAAAUGACCCAGCACCAGAAAAAAUAUCAAAACACUUCAAAAGAGCCUCCAUUAUUUGCAAACGGUGAAUAAAACCUUGAAAAAUGAUAUAUGAGCCCGCCAAAUCACAGAGAUGCCGAUUACAAUUAUUACAAAUGACUAGUGGUCCCCAGGUAAUACUAUCAGGGCAUAUCAAGCGAUCUCUAACAAAGCAAUAGUGACGCAUAGUACAAAUAUGUUUUACUCACAUAAGAUUGCUGCACCAUUCCUAUCGGAUCCAAUAUUGACGGCACAGCACUGCUUUUUAAUUUUAGUCUAUACGCAAAGACUUGUUCAAGGAAUCCGUGUUGAAAUGAAGCGAACAAAAGCUCAAUGUUUUCCCCACGUUUCAACCACGCAUUCCUACUGUCGGAAUCCGAAGGAAGGUUAUGCAGUGACUGUGUUCUUCCACAACCAGGCACUGCACAAUAUUUUGCGAUCUUUAACGGCAUGAUGCUUACACUCGCUCUAUCUGGUACCGUGCAGCUUGUGUUCAGUACUGUCAUGCGCGAACCAGUGGGCAGGGCUCGAGAAGUAGGCGUUGAUAUUCUUCUGUGGAGGCGGUGUUCAACCUGUCAUAGAUAGGUGCAUUCCAGGACCUGCCGUUCACUGAGCCUCGUGUCAAUAACAGUUGUUAUUUCAGUAACAAGGGCGUUUUCAGGUCUGACACUUACAGGAUGUUCGCUUGAAUAUGAUUCCCUCUUAUAUAACAAAAGUUCGGGUUAAAAUAGUGGUCCUAGUUCACUGCACCUUUAAAUGAUUAACAAUAAUUAAUUUAUUACAAUAACUUGUUUGGAGCGGUUGUUCGUAAAUUCAUAUUUGUUCAUUAAAAAUAUAUUAAGUAAUGCUAUUUUCAACAACUUGAAACAUGAAAAUGUACAUUUCACUACAACUAAUGUUAAUGAAUUUGGCAUUAACAUAAGACUGGCACCUUUUUCCAUACCUAAAAGCCUGAAUUUUCCUUCAUGAAGUUCAAAUAGGGUCGUCGCCUUCAAGUUACAGCCUGUAAAUAAAUUCGCUGUGAUUACUUACCUAAACUGAAAUAAAUAGGCCUACCUUAUUUAUUAAUGCAAAUGCAAUGCAAAGCUAAAGACAAGACAAGACAGACACUGACUGUGAAUGACAAAGAAAACAAUAUUUAUAUGCGGUGCUGAUCAUCAGAAAUAUCUUCCUCAGAUGACGAUCAUGUAACAGGGAAACAAGCACAAUGCCUCCAUCUUUGUUGCGGGGUAUUUUUUAGGAUCUUAACAGUCGGCAUGGAGGUAUCAAGCCUGUUUACUUUAUUUAUUAUCAACAUUAUAAACAAUAAAGCCAGAUAUUAUUGUCAGAUCUGGGUUUUGUUACCGGGAGUUAAAGAAGAAUAGCGCUUUUUCUCCCGCUGUCGGCUUGUUAACCGUCGGCUUGUUAAACAGACUUUCACCAGAGUAAAAUAGACCUAUAUGCUUGUUUUUCUUAUCAAGAACAUGUAAAACAAAAUAAACAAGAUAACCAUAUAUCACAGACUGUCAAUAUACUUUGCAGUCUGUGACAUUCUGGUUCCUGUCUGCUCCCGUUCCUGUCUGCAUCCCUGCUGGCGGUUUGUUUGUAUCCCUGCACUUGGACUUCGUUUUAAUAUUAGUGUAUUUUAUUAUUGCUUACUAUAACUGUUACUUAUCACUGUCUUGCUAACUUAUCCUGAUAUCUCAAUACCCUGUCCUUGUUAUUUACUUGAAGAUUCUAAACCAAAGUUGAUAGUUAACGUAACGUUGUUAGCAUAGCAUUAGCGUGCUAGCUUGCUUUCUGUUUACACUGUGGCAUGUCAUAUUGCCUUCUAGUUUGUCUUGUGUGCUAACUGUUUCUCUUUUAAGCGUAUAUACUACGAUUCAUCGAGCAACCUUGGUAAGUCGGAAUUACUCUUCAAACCCGGUGAGUUAUGGCUUCUAUUCCUAUUAUUGUUACUUGCACCUCAUGUCAUAUGUUUAGCUUAGCCUUCUCUGUGAGCGGCGAGGGUUUUACAUGCGACAAAUGCAGGGAAAUAGUUAGGCUGACAGAGAAGAUCUUAGAAUUAGAGUCUCGCAUCCAAUCUUUAUCUGAGUGUAUAGUAAUUGUGUAAGGACCAUAGAAAACCCUUUGGAUGCGAGCAGCAUUAGCGCACACAGCUCGGUUCCAGUUGAAAAUCCCCCGCAUCUGGGAAACUUUGUGACUGUUAGACGGCAUAGUCGCAGGACAAAACAUCACUCAACCGUUCCGAUUACAGUCUCGAACAGGUUUGCCCCGCUCAGUGACGCACCGACUGAGAAACCUGCUGAAAGUGCCCUAGCUAUCGGUGAUUCUAUUGUUCGGAACGUUAACAUAGAGGCACCAGCCACCAUAGUCCAAUGUUUACCGGGAGCCAGAGCGCCUGACAUCAAGUCAAAUUUGGCUAAGGCUAAUCGUAAAUUCAGUAAGAUUGUUAUUCACGUCAGCACAAAUGAUGUUCGACUCCGUCAAUCGGCGAUCACACAAUAUUAUUUUAAAGAGGUGUGUGAGAUCGCAAGCACGAUGUCAGACACUGUAAUAUUCUCUGGCCCCCUCACUGCUUAUCGUGGUGAUGAGAUUUAUAGCAGAUUAUCAUCACUAAAUGGCUGGUUGUCUGAGUGGUGCCUGCAGAAUGAUAUAGUUUUUAUAAAUAACUGGAAGAGUUUUUAGGGCAGACCUGACCUGUUGAAACGAGAUGGUCUCCAUCCCUCCUGGGCUGGGGCUUCCCUCCUGUCUAGAAAUAUGCCACAAAGUCUUAAUGCUCACUGGGGCUCAGGUCAAGGAGCAGACAGAAUGGCUUAACCAACUAUCUGCUUGCCGUCUCACGUCGCAGAAUACACAAAAUGCACAACAUGCAAUAAUCCCUUCUCCCAAACAUCAUAAAAUAGAGACUGUGUCUGUCCCCCGGAUUAGCGGACAUAAAAUAAUGCAUAAACCUCUCAAAAGUAAAAGUAAUUUAAUAAACGUUAAACACUGUUAGGUGGUUGCCCUGCAGGCUUAUUACAAAAACUCCAAUUGGUCCAAAACGCGGCAGCUCGAGUUCUUACACGUACAAAAAAGUAUGAACAUAUUAGCCCGGUUAUGUCAACCUUGCACUGGUUACCUAUAAAGCAUCGCGUUAACUUUAAAAUCUUGCUUAUUACCUUUAAAGCCCUACAUGGUGUAUCUCCGCAGUACUUAAGUGAACUCCUCUUGUAUUACAGUCCUUCAUGUGCAUUACGCUCUCAGGCGUCCUGUCAGUUGGUAAUACCUAGAAUUUCAAAAUCAAGUGCAGGUGGUAGAUCCUUUUCCUAUCUAGCGCCUAAACUUUGGAAUAGUCUUCCCUGCACUGUCCGGGAGGCAGACACACUCUGUCAGUUUAAAUCUAGACUAAAGACGCAUCUUUUUAAUCUUGCAUACUCUACACUUCCAUAAUAUAAAUCCACUGAGGGUUUAGGCUGCAUUAGUUAGAUCAACCGGAACCAGAAACACAACUGAUGUACUUGUUGCAUCAAAGAGUGCAGAACAGUACUCUACUCUCAGCCAGUCUUGUCUCAUUGUUCCAAGGUUACCACAGCGAGCACGAUGCAGUUCAUGGCCAGACCUGAUGGUAGAGCGGAGAAUGGGAAGCGGAGACCUGUCAAGAGCUGAGAUGAUAGAGCUGGAUAAAGAAGGACGCGCCUUGUUGUGCAAGCACUGUCGAGCUUGUGCAGAGGCAGCAGCUUUUGCCAGAGGGGAACUGGAAUCCCCUGGUUGGGCCUGGGUUCUCCUGAGGUUUUUUUCUCCAUUGGAGUUUUGGGUUCCUCGCCACCAUUUGCAUACUGUUAGAAUUUUAAAGUUUUACUUAAUUAAUAUUGCAUUUAGGAAUUUAUAGUCUGUUUAAUAUUUGAUAAGUGUUUAAUAAGUGUUUCUCUCUCCUGUAUCUUAAAUGUGUGCUUUUCACUGUGUGUGUGUCUAUGUGUGUUAGUAUGUGUGCAUAUUGUGUGUGUGGAGUGUUUUGUAUGUGGGUGUGUCUGUCUUCUGUGUUUUCACCUUUUUUUGUUUUUCCAUGUAUAACUUGUUUUGCUUAUAGUCAAUGUCUCAUGUAUAGCUGCUUUGUAACAAUGAAAAUUGUAAUAAAUAGUGCUAUAUAAAUAACCUUGA